UACGUAGGGGGGCAAGCGUUGUCCGGAUUCAUUGGGCGUAAAGAGCGUGUAGGCGGCCAGGUAGGUCGGUUGUGAAAACUGGAGGCUCAACCUUCAGAGGUCGACCGAAACCAUCUGGCUAGAGUCCGGGAGAGGAGAGUGGAAUCCUGGUGUAGCGGUGGAAUGCGCAGAUAUCAGGAGGAACACCGAUGGCGAAGGCAGAUCUCUGGGCCGUUACUGACGCUGAGGAGCGAAAGCAUGGGGAGCGAACAGG
rnacentral:rRNA from 1 species